UGGUUUAGGCCUGCAGCUGUAGCUCCGAUUUGACCCCUAGCCUGGGGACUUACAUGUGCCACAGGUGCGGCCCUAAAGAAGCAAAAAAAAAAAAAUGUAGAGGGUCCAUCAGGAGAAUAGAAGCCACCCUCAUCAUUUCAAAUAUAGGGCGUUUUAAUCCAGAGACUUGUUCACACAGGUGUCGAAACGCAGUGGAAGGGCGAGAAGUGGAUACUGAGAUAGAUAACCACUUCUGAGGAACUGCAAGAAGCAGCAGCAGAGCCCGGCUGGGCGUUUAAGAAACGAGGAGGUCUGAGCGCCAUCCACAUGACACAGCCUCCUCUGUAGUCUGGGUACCACCCGAGGGCACCCUUUCCUCAGGGUUCUGAACACCAGCUACAAGGACAUGCAACGUAGAGUUCCCAGGUAUAUACCCAAGAGAAGGGAAAACCAUGUGUCUACACAAAACUUGGACACAAAUGUUCAUAGCAGCAUUAUUCCUAAUAGCCGAAAAUGGAAACACCCACAUGUCCAUCAACUGAUGAAUGGGUAAGUAAAAUGCAGCACACCCUCACAGUGGAAUUUUAUUUCACAAUAAAAAGGAAUGAAGUACUGCAUGAAUGGUACAGCAUGGAUGAACCUUGAAAAUACGAUGCUGGAUGAAAGAAGCCAGUCACA